AGAUUGCCUCAGUAUUUCCCAGCAAAGGCAUCCAUAUUGCACUACCUUCUCUCAGCAUUCAGAAGCACAGUGAGUUAAACUCCUGUAUGCUUGAACUGGGGAGUUCACCAUCUUCUGCAAUAAAGUACCCAGCUUUCAAUUGAAAAACAAGCAGAUGGGCUGCAAUGAGAGGAAAGACCCACAUGAGGUCAUCCAAGGGCAGGGCAGCAUGACAGAGUUGGCAACUUUCUCAUAAUCCUUAUUUCUUUCCUUUUGAAGAUGAAGGAGCAGACUCUGGCCAUAAGUCAGUGCUGAGAUCUCUGUAUGUGCUUCUUCAGCAUGAUGGACAGAUAAAAGGAUGAAGACUCUACAAGAUCAUCUUUUCAACAGUCCCAGCUUGUGAUAAGGCAUGAACAGUCUUUUACUCAGCAUCUUUCUGUCAAAUGAAGGCUCAUGUAAUGGAUGAGAGACAUCCCUCCCUCCUGCCAGGUCAGGAUUUCUGAGAUUCAUGGUACAGCUGGAGGUGGUGAACUGACAGAAAUGCUUUGGAAGCUCUUUGCAGGUUUUAAGCACAACAGGAAUUUUCUGAUUUAAGCAAAAGGGAGAGUGGAUCUGCCAAUCAGCAUGGAAAAAACAGAGCCCAGGAGUAAAUACUGUGAGAAAACAUAUCGUGACUUCAUGUACACAAGACAUUUCAGCAAUGCUAUGAUCUAAUGGAGGUGGGCAGGAAAGAGAAAAACUAUUUUUUUUCUAGGGUGUCUUCAGUAACUAGAAACAUACCCUGUAAGGAGCCAUCCUGAUGGACAGUUUGUUGGUUCUUCUGUCACUGCAGCUUCAAGCCUGGAAGUCACUGGAAAUCUCUGGUGUUCCCAUGUUCUUGGCUGCUGACAGAACUGUUCAUACAAAUUGCAACAGUAUGUCAGAGCUUUGAAAUGGCUCAGUGGCAGCUGAGGCAAGAAGCAAAAUUGCCAUUAUUACCCCUAUGAGAAAGAAUGAAGGAAAGAUUUUUAUGACAAUUUUGUCAACGUUUAGCAAUGCUGUUUUUAAGCAGCUUGAAACAUACUUUCCAGUUUCAAUGAUGUUCAGCCUUUCCUUCCACAUAGGCUUAUAGUAGACCAGUGGCAUACAACUGGCAUGAGCUAGAGACAACAGAUGCCUCUAAUACAGUGCUACGACCUGGGCUGAAGCCCAUGGAGAACUCAAAAUAUUCAUUUAAGAUUUUGCAGUGUUGUUUAUAACCAAAUAUGGACAAGCAGCACAAAUGAAUUUGUAGCAGUGACUCCAGCAGACAGCUGCAGAACUACAAAAAUGGAGCUGGAAGCAGGAUGUAGCUCACAGAGCUAACAGCAUAGCAAAGAGAAAGGAGGAAGAAAGAAAACAAAUGGUAAUUUAGAAAACACUGGAUAAUGCUGAUGAAAUGUGGUUUGACACCACUAGUGCUUCAAGACUAAGGGUAUGAAACAGAAUAAUGCAAAAAUAAAUAAAUAAAUAAAAAUUUAAAAAAAAAUCCUGCCUUGAAAAAAUCCUGCCUUGAAUACUCUUGCUUUACAACAAGAAAUACAAUUUGGUCUGUAAACAAGAAGUAGGAAUGAAAAACCUGUCUUAAAACUGCUUGUGAGAAGGAAAAGAGUAGUUCGUUAUUUUAUA